AUUGAACGCUGGCGGCAGGCCUAACACAUGCAAGUCGAACGAGUGGCGGACGGGUGAGUAAUGUAUGGGAAACUGCCCGAUGGAGGGGGAUAACUACUGGAAACGGUAGCUAAUACCGCAUACCAUCGGAUGAGCCCAGAUGGGAUUAGCUAGUAGGUGUGGUCACGGCUCACAUAGGCGACGAUCCCUAGCUGGUGUGAGAGGAUGACCAGCCACACUGGAACUGAGACACGGUCCAUACUCCUACGGGAGGCAGCAGUGGGGAAUAUUGCACAAUGGGCGCAAGCCUGAUGCAGCCAUGCCGCGUGUAUGAAGAAGGCCUUCGGGUUGUAAAGUACUUUCAGCUAGGAGGCGUUACUCGCAGAAGAAGCACCGGCUAACUCCGUGCCAGCAGCCGCGGUAAUAC
rnacentral:rRNA from 1 species